rnacentral:rRNA from 1 species
UCCAGACUCCUACGGGAGGCAGCAGUGAGGAAUAUUGGUCAAUGGCCGAGAGGCUGAACCAGCCAAGUCGCGUGAGGGAAGAAUGUCCUAAGGAUUGUAAACCUCUUUUGUCGGGGAGCAAAAAGGCUCUGCGGAGUCGUAUUGAGAGUACCCGAAGAAAAAGCAUCGGCUAACUCCGUGCCAGCAGCCGCGGUAAUACGGAGGAUGCGAGCGUUAUCCGGAUUUAUUGGGUUUAAAGGGUGCGUAGGCGGUUUUUUAAGUUAGUGGUUAAACGUCGGGGCUUCACCUUGAUUUGCCAUUAAUACUGUAAGACUCGAGUUCAGACGAGGUAGGCGGAAUAAGUUAAGUAGCGGUGAAAUGCUUAGAUAUAACUUAGAACUCCGAUAGCGAAGGCAGCUUACCAGACUGCGACUGACGCUGAAGCACGAGAGCGUGGGUAGCGAACAGGAUUAGAUACCCCAGUA